AUAGCACGUGAAAUUGUGAAAGGAAGCGUUUGCGACCAGACCUUUUCGUAGCGGAUCAUCCGGUGUUCUCACCGGUGCACUUCGCUUCGUUUAGGCCAGCAUCGGUUUCUGUAGGGGGAUAAAAGCUUGGGGAACGUAGCUCCCUCGGGAGUGUUAUAGCCCCUCGCAUAAUACCCUUACGGGGACCGAGGACCGCGCUUUAUGCAAGGAUGCUGGCGUAAUGGUCGUCAACGACCCGUCUUGAAACACGGACCAAGGAGUCGAACAUUUAUGCGAGUGUUUGGGUGUUAAACCCUCACGCGUAAUGAAAGUGAACGGAGGUGAGAGCCCUUACGGGUGCAUCAUCGACCGAUCCUGAUGUCUUCGGAUGGAUUUGAGUAAGAGCAUAACUGUUCGGACCCGAAAGAUGGUGAACUAUGCGUGGAUAGGGUGAAGCCAGAGGAAACUCUGGUGGAGGCUCGCAGCGGUUCUGACGUGCAAAUCGAUCGUCAAAUCUGCGCAUGGGGGCGAAAGACUUAUCGAACCAUCUAGUAGCUGGUUACCGCCGAAGUUUCCCUCAGGAUAGCAGUGUUGUUCUUCAGUUUUAUGAGGUAAAGCGAAUGAUUAGGGACUCGGGGGCGCUUUUUAGCCUUCAUCCAUUCUCAAACUUUAAAUAUGUAAGAAGCCCUUGUUACUUAAUUGAACGUGGGCAUUCGAAUGUACCAACACUAGUGGGCCAUUUUUGGUAAGCAGAACUGGCGAUGCGGGAUGAACCGAACGCGGGGUUAAGGUGCCGGAGUGGACGCUCAUCAGACACCACAAAAGGUGUUAGCACAUUUAGACAAUAGGACGGUGGCCAUGGAAGUCGGAAUCCGCUAAGGACUGUGUAACAACUCACCUAUCGAAUGUGCUAGCCCUGAAAAUGGAUGGCGCUCAAGCGUCCCACCCAUACCUCGCCCUCAGGGUAGAAACGAUGCCCUGAGGAGUAGGCGGCCGUGGGGGUCAGUGACGAAGCCUAGGGCGGAGCCCGUCAAGU
rnacentral:rRNA from 1 species